rnacentral:rRNA from 1 species
GACGAACGCUGGCGGCGUGCUUAACACAUGCAAGUCGAACGAGUGGCGAAGGGGUGAGUAAUACGUGGGAAACUGCCCUCCCUUUUGGGAUAAGCCUUGGAAAAGGGGUCUAAUUCCCAAUAUCGGGGGAGGGGAUCGCGGCCUAUCAGCUUGUUGGUGGGGUGAUGGCGUACCAAGACGGUGACUGGGAGCCGGCCUGAGAGGGUGACCGGCCACGCUGGAACUGAGACACGGUCCAGACUCCUACGGGAGGCAGCAGUGGGGAAUAUUGCACAAUGGGCGCAAGCCUUAUGCAGCCAUGCCGCGUGUAUGAAGAAGGCCUUCGGGUUGUAAAGUACUUUCAGCGAGGAGGCGUUACUCGCAGAAGAAGCACCGGCUAACUCCGUGCCAGCAGCCGCGGUAAUUC